rnacentral:rRNA from 1 species
CUACAGGGGUUUCUAAUCCCGUUUGCUCCCCUGGCUUUCGCGCCUCAGCGUCAGAAAGGGUCCAGCAAGCCGCCUUCGCCACCGGAGUUCCUAUGGAUAUCAAUGCAUUUCACCGCUCCACCCAUAGUUCCGCUUGCCCCUACCCUCCUCGAGGCCCUCAGUCUCCGAGGCUCUUCUCCAGUUAGGCUGGAGGAUUUCACCCCGGACUUGAAGGCCCGCCUACGCGCCCUUUAAGCCCAGUGAUUCCGAACAACGUUCGCACGGUUCGUCUUACCGCGGCUGCUGGCAC